GCCAGAGAGGGUGAGAGCCCCGUAAGCGAAAUCCAAAGGAGGCCUAUCAGUAUCCUGAGUAGGGCGGGACACGUGAAAUCCCGUUUGAAUCCGCGAGGACCAUCUCGCAAGGCUAAAUACUAACCAGUGACCGAUAGUGAACCAGUACCGUGAGGGAAAGGUGAAAAGAACCCCGGGAGGGGAGUGAAAGAGAACCUGAAACCGUGUGCCUACAAGUAGUCAGAGCCCGUUAACGGGUAAUGGCGUGCCUUUUGUAGAAUGAACCGGCGAGUUGCGUUAGUCAGCAAGGUUAAGUCAGAAAAGACGGAGCCGUAGCGAAAGCGAGUCUGAAGAGGGCGAGCAGUUGGCUGACGCAGACCCGAAACCAAGUGACCUACCCAUGACCAGGUUGAAGGCGCGGUAAAACGCGCUGGAGGACCGAACCCACGUAAGUUGAAAAUUGCGGGGAUGAGUUGUGGGUAGCGGUGAAAUUCCAAACGAACUUGGAGAUAGCUGGUUCUCUCCGAAAUAGCUUUAGGGCUAGCCUCGCAAAGAGGAUGCUGGAGGUAGAGCUCUGUUUGGACUAGGGGCCCGUCAAGGGUUACUGAAUUCAGAUAAACUGCGAAUUCCAGACAUUUAUGUGCGGGAGUCAGACUGCGAGUGAUAAGAUCCGUAGUCGAAAGGGAAACAGCCCAGAUCACCAGUUAAGGUCCCAAAAUUCAUGCUAAGUGGAAAAGGAUGUGGAGUUGCGCAGACAACUAGGACGUUGGCUCAGAAGCAGCCAUCAUUCAAAGAGUGCGUAAUAGCUCACUAGUCGAGUGACGCCGCGCCGAAAAUUUACCGGGGCUAAGCAUGAUACCGAAACUGUGGAUGUGCAUUUAUGCACGUGGUAGGAGAGCGUUCUAGCGGCGGUGAAGCAUGACCGAGAGGACAUGUGGAGCUUCUAGAAGUGAGAAUGCCGGUAUGAGUAACGAAAGACAGGUGAGAAUCCUGUCCGCCGCAAGACUAAGGUUUCCUGGGGCAGGCUCGUCCGCCCAGGGUAAGUCGGGACCUAAGGCGAGGCCGAGAGGCGUAGUCGAUGGACAACAGGUUGAAAUUCCUGUACUGCACCGAAUCGUUAUGAGCGAUGGAGGGACGCAGGAGGCUAGCAGCGCGUGGUGCUGGAUACCACGUUCAAGCGUCAAGUCUGAGAGUGAGUCAAAUGCUUGCUCUCAUAAGGACAAGGCGUGAUGAGGAGCGAAAUUAAAGUAGCGAAGGCUG
rnacentral:rRNA from 1 species